AGGGUUAUAGGAACCUCUCAACGAUACCUCACAAGGAUGUGGUGUGGUUCAUCUCAAGUUGAACUUUUUAAUUUACUGCUUCAUUUGAUCCUUCAAAAUAACUAGGUGAUUGUCCAAAGUGGCCAAGGAUGGAGUUUGGAGACUUCCUUGAGAUGAUAAAAAAAGGAUAGUGUGAACAAACAAGCCCCACGCAGGCUGGCAGAUCCUCAGUUAUACUUUAUUGCUGUCAGAGCCCCACCGUCAUGUCAGGCUAAGGAACACACUCACCAGUGGUUCCAGGGAUCCUCGUUCCAACCCAACACAGUGGAAAGAGAGCUGCUAUCUCCCGACAUCUGUGAUUGACUCUCCUGGGAUCUACCCUCUAACCCCAGUUGCAAUCUGACCAGCUUUAUUCAGGAGAAGCACUAAACCCUAAAGCAUACAGUUGGUCCUGUGUCAGAAGGCUGGGACUUACCCAUGAGAAAGCAUAAGCUCUCCCCUGCAGUGGAGCUUGUUGGGAAUGCAAGGUGACAGGGAGCCCACAGGACCUUGCCCUAGAGGGCCUUAUAUCGAAUAAGCCUACAUUGUUGAAUCACAUGCACUGAAGACUACAGAACAAAUCAUAGAAAAAGGAACAAAAGUGAUGAUUGAAAAGAAAAGCCAGCAAUAUCCUCCUGCUUGGUUUCCCUUGAAAAGAAUGAGCAAAGUGAUCUGUGUAGCCUUGUAACCAGGGAACAGAUUUCCUGUGUAGGCUCACAACUCUGGAAAGGAACUGGACAUACUGAGAAGCACCCUUUAAGGAGAGGUACUUCUUCGCAAGCCAAGAUUAUAAGCCUACCUCUGAUGAUCAGCUCUUAAAAAUGAACACAAAACAGAAGACAGCUUUGAGAGGUGCUGUAGAAAGGAGAAGAUUUUUCUUUCAAGAAAAAAACAAAACAAAAAACUGUUAUUCAUUCUGGCUGGAUAAUGCUGAACGAAACCAAGAAGCUCUCUGUGCUUUGGGACUUCACACAUGGCCAGGGAAGAGCUGGAUGGCUGUAUGAAGGGGACUGACUGACUGUGGGAACAAUAGCCAGGAAAGACCUAUCUUCCUGUCUUGCUUCCAUAGCCCUCAUUGUUAUGUGGGGGCCCUGACAGAUCACAUUAUCCCAGGGACAACAUAAGCAUCAAGGAGAAACUUUCUCAAAUGAUUCUCCUAAAGUAUUUCUGGAAGCUUGCUGUUUAUGGCAGACUAGAGUGAGAGGCUGGAAAAGACUUCAAAGAGAAUGUUGAAGAGGGAGAGAGGAGAAGAUGGGUGAAGAAGCUGAGUUUUGAAGAGAAAUGGGAGAGAUGUUGAGGAAGUUCAUUGCUUCUGGUCUUGAUGUCACUUAAGGUGA